AUGUACACCUCUGUCACCUCCCAACUUCUCCCUCCUUCCUUUCAUCCUCCCUCCUCUCACUUUCCCUAACGAGUUCUUCACCUUCAGUUCUGGGCAGGGAGUGGAGAGGAAGGACCAGAUGGCUUGUUGUAAUGUGCUGGGAAGAGAGGCCAAGAGAGGCCGUGUGAUCAGAACACCUUGAGCCUUCUGCUGGGGGCAGGAGGAAGCUGCUUAGGGUUGUAAGUUUGGACUCUGUGCCUCCUUCUCCUGUAGAACUUGGGGAUUUACCCCUCCCAUAAGCCCUUCUCAUCCUGUCCCCCAUUAGACCCCACCUCAGUCCCUGAAGCACCUACAGUGCCUGCUCUGGCCAGGACUAGCCCACAGUUCAUAGUCCUAGGGUACCUCUCUUCCCUUUCCCCAGCCUGCCCACUGCCUCUAUGUUCUAACCUGUAGAAAUCCAGGCUACACUCUUGAGGGCCAAGCGGGUGAAGUGGUCAUUAAGGACCCAGACUCCUUUCAUUUGGCCUUGGCAUUAGGGGUCCAUACUGGUAAGGACUAGCUCUCAGGCCUCCCCAGUGGAGCCUUCCAGAUGGGAGACAUACAAUUCAGUGUGCAUAUGGGUCACAGGAUGAGACAGAGCUAUGAAAGGGGCCUUGAGCACUAAUGGAGCUGCUUUUGCUACCAGUGAGCUCACCUGUCCCGGAUUGUAUCGUCUUCUGGAUCCUCAGCAGGUGAAGCCUCUUUCUGAGCUGAGUGGGGGGUACAGGUGCCAUGGAGCUGCGCCCACACCUCACCUACCACCUGGUCUCUGCGGUAGUUCCCUCCACUUCCCUAUUUCUACAGCUGCAGACAGCUGCAUGUUUUGUUCCUUGAAAGAGGUAAACUACAUCUUUUUCUUUGCUUUCUCCUCUCUCUGUUUCCUCCUCUUCUCCUAUAGGUCUGUGGAAGGCUACUGCCUAGAGGGUUGUUUCCCAACAGCAACAUGCGAGGACCGAUCAGAUGGGAAGCAUCACACAGACAGCAAGAACAACCCCAUGCAAACCGUGAAAACCACGAAGAAAAGCUGCACAGCGGCAGGAAAACACGGCUGGGAGGGAGAACAGUGCCCCACCCUGCAGCUGCUAAGCAUCCCUGAGAGCAUCAAGCCCCAAACUGGGGGCCAGCACUGCAUGCCUUACGGUGGCACCGCCACACUGUGACACCCUCCAGAGCCACGUGGCUGUUGAUAAGUCCCAGACUCUGCUCAGGAGGACUUGGGUGGUUCCUGAAACUGCCUUUAUAACAAUGGAGAGGAAGAAGCCGUUAGCCGGAAGUGAGUAUUUCGGAGGUCACCUGAAGUCCUCGCUGCAGCCAGCGCAUCAGAGAAACUGGCCACUGGAACCCUGGGCUAUGAACACUGACCUUGUGUUAGCCUGUCCUGAUUGAGCUGAAGUGAGAGACUGUCGCCGUAACCACGGCUAUUGAAAGAAUGGAUGCCGAGCGUCCAUCAUGCGAGCUCUUACCGCUAAUAGCCCAGCGGAAACCAGAAAGCACUUUACACGGGUUCAAACUGCAGCUAUUUUCUUGGUUCCAGCAUUGCCUUUGCCUGAGAGUGUCACAGGCCUGAAGUGUUUACUGUCACCUGAGAAGGGAGGCUACCAGGUGCCACUGAAGAUGGAAUGUCUCCUUGUGUGCAGACCCUGAGCCAGGCCAGCUCAGCUUUGAACUGGCAACACACUGUGAAAUUCCACUGUGGCUGCAUUUCUCAUGACCAAACGAUGGGCCCAGGACGAUAACAUCAGUACCCCCAUCUCCUUGUGUUAGAGGUGGGAGAGAGGACCACAGAGAGAACCCAGAGCAGGACUCUGGGGGAUGGGACAGUGAGGACGGUCAGAUGUGUGUUGAUGAGCUCAGCUCCAUGCCUGAUCCUGUCAAGAAGGGCGUGUGUGACCACUCUCUUUGAAGGCAGUGGGACCAAACAAAUAUAAU